GAUCAGAUACCGUCGUAGUCUUAACUAUAAACUAUGCCGACUAGGGAUCGGACGAUGUUAUCUUUUGGCGCGUUCGGCACCUUUSGAGAAAUCAAAGUGCUUGGGCUCCAGGGGGAGUAUGGUCGCAAGGCUGAAACUUAAAGAAAUUGACGGAAGGGCACCACCAGGGGUGGAACCUGCGGCUUAAUUUGACCCAACACGGGGAAACUCACCCAGGUCCAGACACAGUGAGGAUUGACAGAUUGAGAGCUCUUUCUUGAUUCUGUGGGUGGUGGUGCAUGGCCGUUCUUAGUUGGUGGAGUGAUUUGUCUGCUUAAUUGCGAUAACGAACGAGACCU
rnacentral:rRNA from 1 species